rnacentral:rRNA from 1 species
UACAGAGACUGCAAGCGUUAUUCGGAUUCACUGGGCGUAAAGGGUGCGCAGGCGGCCAAGUGUGUGAGGCGUGAAAGCCUGGGGCUUAACCCCGGAAUUGCACCUCAAACUACUUGGCUAGAGCAUUGGAGAGGGUAGCAGAAUUCAUGGUGUAGCAGUGAAAUGCGUAGAUAUCAUGAGGAAUACCAGAGGCGAAGGCGGCUACCUGGACAAUUGCUGACGCUCAGGCACGAAAGCGUGGGGAGCAAAAGGG